UACGUAGGGUGCAAGCGUUGUCCGGAAUUAUUGGGCGUAAAGAGCUCGUAGGCGGUCUGUCGCGUCUGCUGUGAAAACUCAGGGCUUAACCCUGAGCUUGCAGUGGGUACGGGCAGACUAGAGUGCGGUAGGGGAGACUGGAAUUCCUGGUGUAGCGGUGAAAUGCGCAGAUAUCAGGAGGAACACCGAUGGCGAAGGCAGGUCUCUGGGCCGAUACUGACGUGGAGGAGCGAAAGCGUGGGGAGCGAACAGG
rnacentral:rRNA from 1 species